GGCUUCCUUUCAUUACAGGGAGCUGCUGGGAAGUACAAGGGGCAGGUGAGAGCAAACUGGAACCAGAAAUUGCUUGCCCUAUUUCGCGUUUAGCAAGCACAAGAGCUAUGGCUUGAACAGUUUUCCCCAUCCCCAUUUCAUCAGCAAGAAUACCGCCUCUAGCAGUAGAUUCUUCUUGCUUCAACGCCCAAGUCAACCACUCUUUCUGG
rnacentral:misc_RNA from 1 species